rnacentral:rRNA from 1 species
GGCGCACGGGUGAGUAACACGUGGGUAAUCUGCCCUUUCGUCUGGAACAACUGCGGGAAACUGCAGCUAAUUCCGGAUAAGACUACGACGACUCCGGUCGACGUGGAAAAAGGUGGCCUCUCCUUGGAGGCUAUCGCGAAGGGAUGAGCCCGCGUUCCAUUAGCUAGUUGGUGGGGUAAAAGCCUACCAAGGCUCCGAUGGAUAGCUGGUCUGAGAGGAUGAUCAGCCACACUGGGACUGAGACACGGCCCAGACUCCUACGGGAGGCAGCAGUCGGGAAUUUUGUCCAAUGGGGGAAACCCUGAGACAGCAACGCCGCGUGAGGGAUGAAGGCCUUCGGGUCGUAAACCUCUGUCAGGAGGGAAGAAAGCUUCAUUGCAAAUAGUUAUGAAGUCUGACGGUACCUCCAAAGGAAGCACCGGCUAACUCCGUGCCAGCAGCCGCGGUAAUACGGAGGGUGCGAGCGUUGUUCGGAAUCAUUGGGCGUAAAGCGGAUGUAGGCGGUGAAGUCAGUCAGAUGUGAAAGCCCAGGGCCCAACCCUGGAACUGCAUUUGAUACUGCUUCACUA